UACGUAGGUUGCGAGCGUUACCCGGUUUUAUUGGGCGUAAAGAGUCUGUAGGUGGUUGAUCAAGUCUGGUUUCAAAGACCCCGGCUUAACCGGGGAAAGGGGCUAGAUACUGAUCGACUAGAGUUAUAUCGGAGUUACUGGAAUUUGCAGUGUAGGGGUAGAAUCCGUGGAUACUGCAAAGAACACCAAGCGCGAAGGCGGGUAACUAGGUAUUUACUGACACUCAGAGACGAAAGCUAGGGUAG
rnacentral:rRNA from 1 species